rnacentral:lncRNA from 1 species
AUUGUUUGCUAUAUAGAACUCUGUGCUUAUACUACUUUCAGCCACCAUAUUGAAAAAUUAUCACGCCCUCUAUAGUCACUUAGAUUUGCGAAUACCCUAUUUAACAUGCUAACAUCAAUUGCUAGCACACUUCCCCUGGCUAACAGCGAUGUAGCUAUAAAAAGAAAUCCAUCUGUAUUCGAGUCUUUAAGAAGUAGUAAAGACAAGUAUAAACCGGGCGUCUACAGCAUUGUACUCAUUAACAAGAACACUAAAAUCGCAAGUAAAUAUAUAGGUUUCACAAGCCGUACAAUGGAAGAAAGGCUAGAC